CCGCUGGCGGCAGGCCUAACACAUGCAAGUCGAGCGGUAACAGAGAGGUGCUUGCACCUUUGCUGACGAGCGGCGGACGGGUGAGUAAUGCUUGGGAAUAUGCCUUUUGGUGGGGGACAACAGUUGGAAACGACUGCUAAUACCGCAUGAUGUCUACGGACCAAAGUGGGGGACCUUCGGGCCUCACGCCAAAAGAUUAGCCCAAGUGGGAUUAGCUAGUUGGUAAGGUAAUGGCUUACCAAGGCGACGAUCCCUAGCUGGUUUGAGAGGAUGAUCAGCCACACUGGGACUGAGACACGGCCCAGACUCCUACGGGAGGCAGCAGUGGGGAAUAUUGCACAAUGGGCGCAAGCCUGAUGCAGCCAUGCCGCGUGUGUGAAGAAGGCCUUCGGGUUGUAAAGCACUUUCAGUAAGGAGGAAAGGUUAAGUUUUAAUAGAGCUUAGCUGUGACGUUACUUACAGAAGAAGCACCGGCUAACUCCGUGCCAGCAGCCGCGGUAAUACGGAGGGUGCGAGCGUUAAUCGGAAUUACUGGGCGUAAAGCGUACGCAGGCGGUUUGUUAAGCGAGAUGUGAAAGCCC
rnacentral:rRNA from 1 species